rnacentral:rRNA from 1 species
AUGAACGCUGGCGGCGUGCCUAAUACAUGCAAGUCGAGCGAACAGACGAGGAGCUUGCUCCUCUGACGUUAGCGGCGGACGGGUGAGUAACACGUGGAUAACCUACCUAUAAGACUGGGAUAACUUCGGGAAACCGGAGCUAAUACCGGAUAAUAUAUUGAACCGCAUGGUUCAAUAGUGAAAGACGGUUUUGCUGUCACUUAUAGAUGGAUCCGCGCCGCAUUAGCUAGUUGGUAAGGUAACGGCUUACCAAGGCGACGAUGCGUAGCCGACCUGAGAGGGUGAUCGGCCACACUGGAACUGAGACACGGUCCAGACUCCUACGGUAGGCAGCAGUAGGGAAUCUUCCGCAAUGGGCGAAAGCCUGACGGAGCAACGCCGCGUGAGUGAUGAAGGUCUUCGGAUCGUAAAACUCUGUUAUUAGGGAAGAACAAAUGUGUAAGUAACUAUGCACGUCUUGACGGUACCUAAUCAGAAAGCCACGGCUAACUACGUG